ACCCUUGCUCAACUUGUUGUUAUUCUCCCUGAGCGAUGGCGUCCAAAAAGCCUGAUAAAACCUAUGAAGAAAUGGUCAAGGAAGUAGAAAGGCUUAAACUGGAGAAUAAAACACUUAAACAAAAGGUUAAGUCUUCAGGCGCUGUCUCAUCAGAUGAUAGCAUCUUGACAGCUGCCAAGAGAGAAAGUAUCAUUGUCUCUUCAUCCAGAGCACUAGGAGCAGUGGCUAUGAGAAAAAUCGAGGCUAAAGUCAGAUCCCGGGCGGCCAAAGCUGUUACAGAGCAGGAACUAACCUCUCUUCUCCAAUCGCUGACCCUGAGAGUUGACGUGUCUAUGGAGGAAACUACUGUGGGUGCCAGCGGAGGGAUUGGCCCAUCCUCUCAAACAGAGACCAAGAAAAGAAGACCCAGCAUCAUCGAUGAACGCGUCCUCAGAUGAUCCGGGACACGCUUCCUGAGUAAUUUGUUCUGGGAACACGUUGGAACAUGUCUCAUCCUGUUUUCCAACAAAAUCUUGUCCCUGAGGCUCAACAAUUGGCGGGGCGGGCGUUGAGCCAGAUUGCACAAUAUGCUGGACAGGCGUAUCCCUGUGGCUAGAGAGCAACUCGGCCAGAAAACCAUAAGCCUGUUCGUGCCCAGAAGUGCGAGCUGUGGGUUUCUUGUUUGGACUACCGUCUGAAGAAUAAUUUACCUCCUCAUCGCUCUCCCUUAAUCUCUUUGCGGAACAGGUGUGAUUAUCUGGAAUUAGUUGUGGUUGAACGGCGCCUGUGUACUCAAAGGAUCCGCCCAUAGCUGAGUUGGGAGUAGCAGAGACUCCAAUCAACUGGCUCAAGUAGACCUGCUUCGAUCCGUGCCAGUCCUAUAAGAACAGAAAACAUGGGGGAUGAAUUUUAUUAUCCUUCUCUGGAAAGCGUGGUCCACACCUUUUGUGUCAUAGAUACUAGGGAACAUAAUAGACCUCACCAGCUUUUACAGUGGAUGAAAUGUUUGCAACAGUGGCUGCUAGAUUGAAGGAUCUGAUAGAAUAUUCAUGUGACUGUGAGAACUGUGAAUUGUUGGCUGAAUCCCUGACAAAUUAUAAGUUUUCCCUGGUACCUAUAAAGAUCAGGCCACACACCGAUACCUGUGUCUCACUGAAAACACUCCAGCGGCUACGGACUGCCAUGUUAGGCAAUCCUGAAACCCUGAGUAUUUGGACCCUUGAUGACCUGGUGGAGGACCCAGUAGUCUUCAAAGGCUAUGAAAGCGCAAUUAGGAGAGAAUUUGCUGAGCAUGUCACAUGUUUGAACAUGUGCUGGGUUGUGAAGAUAAUCUUGGACUGCAUGUCUCAGCCAACAGCUCUGCUUCGGGAUUGUAUUCAGAAGGGUGCAAAGAAUAAUGGACUCCAGCUGGACACUUCGAGUACCUGGACGUGGCCAGCAGCACGUAUUGCUGAAAAGGAAGUCAUAGAACAUACCAUGAGUGUUUGUGUACAGGAUAUGACUAGAAGUCAUGAUCAGGAAUUCUACACAGAGGCCUUUAAGGAAGAUCUCCAUAUAGGAUUAAAGAGACUAGUUGCCAUGGUCCUUGGGCAGAAUCAUAGUUGGUUAGAUGGCUUUCUGACAGACACUAUAGUGACAGGUAAAGCAUAGCCUGGGGCAUAGUUCUUUGAUGAAUCAUCAUAAAUAUGAUGGCUAAUGUGGUCCUUUUGUGUAUUAAUGCAGAUAUGUUUAUGUAUCCAGGUGUGUUGCUUGAAAGGUAUUUUGCUGUACUAACCCAACACCACCUAUUUAUCAUGUUUGGAAGCCUAUUAAAAACUGUGCUAUUGAC
rnacentral:tmRNA from 1 species